rnacentral:rRNA from 1 species
UACAGAGGGUGCGAGCGUUAAUCGGAAUUACUGGGCGUAAAGGGUGCGUAGGUGGCUACGUAAGUUAGGUGUGAAAUUCCUGGGCUUAACCUGGGGACUGCGCCUGAUACUGCGAGGCUAGAGUACUGUAGAGGAAGGUGGAAUUUCCAGUGUAGCGGUGAAAUGCGUAGAUAUUGGAAGGAACAUCGGUGGCGAAGGCGACCUUCUGGACAGAUACUGACACUGAGGUGCGAAAGCGUGGGGAGCAAACAGGAUUAGAAACCCCAGUAGU